GAGGAAUAUUGGACAAUGGAUGGAAAUCUGAUCCAGCCAUGCCGCGUGCAGGAAGACGGCCCUAUGGGUUGUAAACUGCUUUUGUAUGGGAGCAAUAAGGACUACGUGUAGUUUGAUGAGAGUACCAUACGAAUAAGCAUCGGCUAACUCCGUGCCAGCAGCCGCGGUAAUACGGAGGAUGCGAGCGUUAUCCGGAUUUAUUGGGUUUAAAGGGUGCGCAGGCGGGAUGUUAAGUCGGCGGUGAAAUUUUGCAGCUCAACUGUAAAAGUGCCUUCGAUACUGGCCUCCUUGAGUGUGGAUGAAGUAGGCGGAAUUUGUGGUGUAGCGGUGAAAUGCUUAGAUAUCACGAGGAACUCCGAUUGCGCAGGCAGCUUACUAAGCCACAACUGACGCUCAUGCACGAAGGCGUGGGGAUCAAACA
rnacentral:rRNA from 1 species